CACGUAGGCACCAAGCGUUGUCCGGAUUUAUUGGGCGUAAAGAGCUCGUAGGCGGUUCGGUUAGUCGGGUGUGAAAACUUUGGGCUCAACCCAAAGCGUGCACUCGAUACUGCCGUGACUAGAGUUCGGUAGGGGAGUGGGGAAUUCCUAGUGUAGCGGUGAAAUGCGCAGAUAUUAGGAGGAACACCGGUGGCCGAAGGCGG
rnacentral:rRNA from 1 species